rnacentral:rRNA from 1 species
GAUGAACGCUGGCGGCGUGCUUUACACAUGCAAGUCGAACGGCAGCACGGACUUCGGUCUGGUGGCGAGUGGCGAACGGGUGAGUAAUACAUCGGAACGUGCCCAGUCGUGGGGGAUAACGUAGCGAAAGCUACGCUAAUACCGCAUACGAUCUACGGAUGAAAGCGGAGGAUCGCAAGACCUCGCGCGAUUGGAGCGGCCGAUGGCAGAUUAGGUAGUUGGUGGGGUAAAGGCUCACCAAGCCGACGAUCUGUAGCUGGUCUGAGAGGACGACCAGCCACACUGGGACUGAGACACGGCCCAGACUCCUACGGGAGGCAGCAGUGGGGAAUUUUGGACAAUGGGCGCAAGCCUGAUCCAGCCAUUCCGCGUGCAGGAUGAAGGCCCUCGGGUUGUAAACUGCUUUUGUACGGAACGAAAAGGCUCUGGUUAAUACCCGGGGCUCAUGACGGUACCGUAAGAAUAAGCACCGGCUAACUACGUGCCAGCAGCCGCGGUAA